GCUGGGUGUGGUGGGGCAUGCCUGUAGUCCCAGCUAAUGAGGAGGCUGAGGUGGGAGGAUUGCUUGAGCCCAGGAGUUCGUGGUUGCAGUGAGCUAUGAUUGCACUACUGCACUCCAGCCUGGGCAACAGAGUGAGACCCUGUCUCUA
ensembl:misc_RNA Metazoa_SRP Metazoan signal recognition particle RNA